rnacentral:tRNA from 1 species
GUUUUAAUAGUUUAAAAAUAAAAUUAUAAUCUUGUAAAUUAUAGAUAGGAAAACCUUUAAAACU